GAAACAGUGGCUAAGACUGGAUAGGAAGAUAAAAGGCAUCUUGUAUCUUUUAAAAGACCUAGUUAAUAGGUAUGCUUUAGGAGGGGCUUGCGCCAUAUUAGUUAGUUGGUAGGGUAAUGGCCUACCAAGACGAUGAUGUGUAGCUGGACUGAGAGGUUGAACAGCCACAUUGGGACUGAGACACGGCCCAAACUCCUACGGGAGGCAGCAGUAGGGAAUUUUCGGCAAUGGAGGAAACUCUGACCGAGCAACGCCGCGUGAAUGACGAAGUACUUCGGUAUGUAAAGUUUUUUUAUCGAGGAAGAAAAGCAAAUGGCGAACCAUUUGUUUGCCGGUACUUGAUGAAUAAGCCCCGGCUAAUUAUGUGCCAGCAGCCGCGGUAAGACAUAAGGCGCAAGUGUUAUCCGGAAUUAUUGGGCGUAAAGGGUGCGUAGGCGGUCUAGUAAGUCAGUGGUGUAAUGGCAACGCUUAACGUUGUCCGGCUAUUGAAACUGCUAAACUUGAGUUAGAUAGAGGCGAGUGGAAUUCCAUGUGUAGCGGUAAAAUGCGUAAAUAUAUGGAGGAACACCAGAGGCGUAGGCGGCUCGCUGGGUCUUAACUGACGCUGAGGCACGAAAGCGUGGGGAGCAAACAGGAUUAGAUACCCUGGUAGUCCACGCCGUAAACGAUGAGUACUAAGUGUCGGGUUAAACCGGUACUGAAGUUAACACAUUAAGUACUCCGCCUGAGUAGUACGUACGCAAGUAUGAAACUUAAAGGAAUUGACGGGACUCCGCACAAGCGGUGGAUCAUGUUGUUUAAUUCGAAGAUACCCGAAAAACCUUACCAGGUCUUGACAUGUUUUUGCAAAAUGAUAGUAAUAUCGUGGAGGUUACCAGAAACACAGGUGGUGCAUGGUUGUCGUCAGCUCGUGUCGUGAGAUGUUAGGUUAAGUCCUAAAACGAGCGAAACCCUUAUCGUUAGUUGCCAGCACGUUAUGGUGGGGACUUUAACGAGACUGCCAAUGAUAAAUUGGAGGAAGGUGAGGAUCACGUCAAAUCAGCAUGCCCCUUAUGACCUGGGCUACAAACGUGAUACAAUGGCUGUUACAAAGGGUAGCUGAAACGCAAGUUCUUGGCCAAUCCCCAAAAACAGUCCCAGUCCGGAUUGAAGUCUGCAACUCGACUUCAUGAAGUUGGAAUCGCUAGUAAUCGCGAAUCAGCAUGUCGCGGUGAAUACGUUCUCGGGGUUUGUACACACCGCCCGUCA
rnacentral:rRNA from 1 species